ACGCUCGACACCUACGGGGGGCAGCAGUGGGGAAUAUUGCACAAUGGGGGAAACCCUGAUGCAGCGACGCCGCGUGAAGGAAGAAGUAUCUCGGUAUGUAAACUUCUAUCAGCAGGGAAGAAAGUGACGGUACCUGACUAAGAAGCCCCGGCUAACUACGUGCCUGCAGCCGCGGUAAUCUGAGCGGGCUGGCAAGGC
rnacentral:rRNA from 1 species